rnacentral:tRNA from 1 species
GGGGAAGUGCUGGAACUGGCAGACAGGCAUGACUUAGGAUCAUGUGCCGCAAGGCGUGUGGGUUCGAGCCCCACCUUCCCUA